CCAGUGAAACGGAGCUCACUAUGUGAGGAGGGUCCGCUUAAGCUGCUUCUCUGGUUUCUAACCAAAUGGUUUGUCUGUCGAUGAGCAGUGCCUGUGUGAGAUGUGGCGAGCGAGCUCUUCUUUUGGAGCUGGAGGCCCUGUAGGGAGUCGUCUUUUAAGGCUUCCACUUGUAUUUGAGCAGAACCUUGGGAACUUGGUGCC
rnacentral:lncRNA from 1 species